rnacentral:rRNA from 1 species
CACGUAGGGGGCGAGCGUUGUCCGGAUUUAUUGGGCGUAAAGAGCUCGUAGGCGGCUUGGCAAGUCGGGUGUGAAACCUCCAGGCUCAACCUGGAGACGCCACCUGAUACUGCGGUGACUGGAGUCCGGUAGGGGAGCGUAGAAUUCCUGGUGUAGCGGUGAAAUGCGCAGAUAUCAGGAGGAACACCAGCGGCGAAGGCGGCGCUCUGGGCCGGUACUGACGCUGAGGAGCGAAAGCGUGGGUAGCAAACAGG